rnacentral:rRNA from 1 species
UACGGAGGGUGCAAGCGUUAUCCGGAUUCACUGGGUUUAAAGGGUGCGUAGGUGGGUCUGUAAGUCAGUGGUGAAAUCUCCGAGCUUAACUUGGAAACUGCCAUUGAUACUAUAGAUCUUGAAUACCGUGGAGGUCAGCGGAAUAUGUCAUGUAGCGGUGAAAUGCUUAGAUAUGACAUAGAACACCAAUUGCGAAGGCAGCUUGCUACAGGGAUAUUGACACUGAGGCACGAAAGCGUGGGGAUCAAACAGG